rnacentral:rRNA from 1 species
UAGGGAAUCUUCCACAAUGGACGCAAGUCUGAUGGAGCAACGCCGCGUGAGUGAAGAAGGUUUUCGGACCGUAAAGCUCUGUUGUUGGUGAAGAAGGAUAGAGGUAGUAACUGGCCUUUAUUUGACGGUAAUCAACCAGAAAGUCACGGCUAACUACGUGCCAGCAGCCGCGGUAAUACGUAGGUGGCAAGCGUUGUCCGGAUUUAUUGGGCGUAAAGCGAGCGCAGGCGGAAGAAUAAGUCUGAUGUGAAAGCCCUCGGCUUAACCGAGGAAUUGCAUCGGAAACUGUUUUCUUGAG